rnacentral:rRNA from 1 species
UACCAGCACCCCGAGUGGUCGGCACGAUUAUUGGGCCUAAAGCAUCCGUAGCCGGUUCUGCAAGUCUUCCGUUAAAUCCAGCUGCUUAACAGUUGGGCUGCGGAGGAUACUAUAGAGCUAGGAGGCGGGAGAGGCAAGCGGUACUUAGUGGGUAGGGGUAAAAUCCGUUGAUCCACUGAAGACCACCAGUGGCGAAGGCGGCUUGCCAGAACGCGCUCGACGGUGAGGGAUGAAAGCUGGGGGAGCAAACCGG